UGCUUCCUACGGGAGGCAGCAGUGGGGGAUAUCGCACAAUGGGGGAAACCCUGAUGCAGCGACGCCGCGUGGGCGAAGAAGUAUUUCGGUAUGUAAAGCCCUAUCAGCAGGGAGGAAGAAAUGACGGUACCUGAGUAAGAAGCCCCGGCUAACUACGUGCCAGCAGCCGCGGUAAUACGUAGGGGGCAAGCGUUAUCCGGAUUUACUGGGUGUAAAGGGAGCGUAGACGGCAGUGCAAGUCUGGAGUGAAAGGCGGGGGCUCAACCCCCGGACUGCUCUGGAAACUGUACGGCUGGAGUGCAGGG
rnacentral:rRNA from 1 species